rnacentral:ncRNA from 1 species
GCACGUUCUCAGGGCGGGGUGAAACUCCCCACCGGCGGUAACGGGAAGCAAUUCCCGGAGCCCGCGAGCGCUUCUUACUCCUAUGUCCGCAUAAGGGUAUGAAGGUCAGCAGAUCCGGUUGAAUUCCGGAGCCGACGGUUAAAGUCCGGAUGAAAGAGAGCAAGC